AUGGGUGGUUACCCGUCUAUUUAAGGAAGCUUAUCGGCGAAAAAUUUGAUAUUCAUCCAAGGUUUCGAGUAUAAAUAUCAGAUUUUUACUUAGUUUAAAGCAGUUUGUCGCAUCAACCAGUUAAUAAGCAGUACUCUACUCUUACGACAAUUCCAAUCGCUGUAUUUUGGGCAGACAGUUCAAUUUUCUCAAUCAGUUGAUAUUUUUAAUUUGAUUAACACAAACCAACACUUCUCAGAUCGAAAUGAAGCCAACGUUGGUUAUUGUCAUUAUUGCCAUUUUGGCUAUGAGUGUUUUUGCUCCAAUCGUGGUUGAAGCUUGUUUAAAACAUGACUCGCCAUGCAGAGGAACACAUGGAAGCCAAGCAGCUUGCUGUCCCGGCUUGUAUUGCCAUAAACCUAAUCCAACAUGGGCACUAGGACGUUGCUAUUACCGAUAGUAAUAUUUCGUCCAUAUUAUCGACAUCCAAAUCUACAAACACUAUAUGGUUUAGCCAUAUUAAUCGGGACGAAGUACUCGAUUUUUAACUGCAAUAGUGAAAAAAAAUGAAUAUUGAAUAAAAACAUUUAAAAUUGAA